UGAGGAAUAUUGGACAAUGGGCGCAAGCCUGAUCCAGCCAUGCCGCGUGCAGGAAGAAGCAUCUAUGGUGUGUAAACUGCUUUUGUACGGGAAGAAACACUCCUACGUGUAGGAGCUUGACGGUACCGUAAGAAUAAGGAUCGGCUAACUCCGUGCCAGCAGCCGCGGUAAUACGGAGGAUCCAAGCGUUAUCAGGAAUCAUUGGGUUUAAAGGGUCCGUAGGCGGUUUAAUAAGUCCGUGGUGAAAGCCCAUCGCUCAGCGAUGGAACGGCCAUUGAUACUGCUAGACUUGAAUUAUUAGGAAGUAACUAGAAUAUGUAGUGUAGCGGUGAAAUGCUUAGAUAUUACAUGGCAUACCACUUGCGAAGGCAGGUUACUACUAAUGGAUUGACGCUGAUGGACGAAAGCGUGGGGAGCGAACA
rnacentral:rRNA from 1 species